rnacentral:lncRNA from 1 species
AUGUACAGUAUUCCCUCUGGCUGUCUGGUGGCGCGCCUGUUAAGAAGCUUUGCUUCUCUCUAUUUGCAGGAUCUGGUUGAAGGAGCAUCCCAGACCCCAGACCGCUCAGGGGAGGGCACCUUCUCUUUUGAGGAAGGACUGCAGGCUUUGAGGUGCUCCCCUGACCCCUUGGCCCAGGAAUUUAUCAGGGCCAUAGAGACCAUCGGUCAGUUCGCUCUCCGCCUGUUCAGUGAGCAUCAGCAGCUGAAGAGCCGGCUGCACCGCCUAGAAGCCCAGCAGCAGGAGAUGGUCUCCCGUCACCUGGACGAGAAGGCGCAGCUACAGGAGGCAGUGCGGGAGCUGAAGAGAAACCAGGAGGCCUCCAGAGCCCAGCAAACCGCUCGCCAAAGAUCAGCCUCACGGCCCUCGCCAUCCACAGGCGUAAGGACUCUUGAAAAAGACUUCCACGUUCAGGUCCAGACCACUGGGAAGACUUAUGGCUACGAUGGGCAGUUUUUACAGGAUGUCUCCACGCUCCUGUCCCGCCAAGGCGUCUCUCUAAAAGUGAAGGGGCUCACCGAGAAUUCGAAACACCUCCUUCUGGUUUUCUGCCCCAUCGCUUCCCGCAUGGGCACCGACAUCGAAAACGCCCUUGAGAGACUUAGCAGUGAGUAAUUGACUCUGGGGUGGGGUGGCCGUGGUGUCCCUCUCUGGCUGUUAGAGCCUUGAUAAACUCUUGGAGCAGCUUCGCGGUGAACGAUAGAAUAUGUAUUGACAAAAAAGCCUCAUCAAAGGCAGGAUGUCUUGAUGAGCCAAGGAAAAUAAGUCUUAAAACAUCAAGACAUCCUUUCCAAACAAAAAAAGCCCUGAGCACCUGCUGGCUGAGGUUUGGCUCCUGCACGAGAGUAAAAACACCAGCCCCCCUCCCCCCCAUUCAUUGCAACUGCAGGGAAAAAGAUAGGUCUUUUUGCACAGUAUGAAAGGUCCUUUCUCUAAAAUGCAAGGCAGGUGGGGUUUUUUAGGGGGGUUGAAAAAGUGUCCCCUAAUCUUGUAUGACAAAGACAAAACCUUGAAAUAUAUCAUAUUUAUGCAGAUGUAAGUGGUUGGAGACUAAAGGAUGUAGUACAAUUAGAGGGAAGUGGAACACGGGGAGAAAAAUCACUGAAUAGCAAGCAUCUUAUUAUGAGCCUCGUGGCGCAGUGGUUAAACCGCUGUACUGCAGCCAAAACUGUGCUCAUAACCUGGGGUUCAAUCCCAGGUAGCCGGUUCAAGGUUGACUCAGCCUUCUAUCCUUCCGAGGUUGGUAAAAUGAGUACCCAGCUCGCUGGGGGGGGGGAAUGUGUAGCCUGCAUAAUUAACUUGUAAACCGCCCAGAGAGUGCCUGAAGUGCUAUGGGGCGGUCUAUGAGCAGCACGCUUUGCUUUUGCUUUUAUUGUUGCGCCAUUUGCUAUCUUGGCAAUAAGCAAGCUAAUUAGCACUCACUGGCUGAAAUCCUACGGAGUAGCUCUUUGGCUGUAAAGGUUGAAAACCUCAUCAGCUACAAGCAUCUCCAGGUCUUUGCCUGGUUGUGGAAGGCCUCCAGUGGGAGGGAGUUCCACAGGCUGGGAGCCGCCACAGGGAAGGCCUUGUCCCCAUCAGACGUACCUCUGAAAGUGGUGGGACAGAUAGAAAGUCU